GGAUCCAUAAGCUCAAAACCGGCAGAGCGCUCAAACAUUGUUGUUUGGGAGGCUGGUGGUUCGAAUCCACCUGGAUCCU
rfam:Gossypium arboreum cultivar AKA8401 contig_29313_3, whole genome shotgun sequence.